rnacentral:lncRNA from 1 species
AUUCCAACCAUUAGAGUUACUUGCUUGGCAUGUGAGUAGACCUUCAUGCAAAUACUCUCGUUCGAUUGUGUUCAGUGAACUCAUUCCCUUAAUGAGCACCUACGUACUUGUCUUAGUGUCACUACACAAAUGGGAUGAGACUUUCCAUCCUUCUAAUUGAAGCGGACAUAGUAUGUACCGGUCUAUGCAUUGUCAGUAUCCCUCCGACAAUCUUAUGACCAGGAACCUUUUGGACAUGAUGGUUAUGUGAAGAAGGUCUCUGUAGUCUAACAUCAUUAGAUUACUUCUUCAAUCGAUCCAUUGUCCAUGGAUUCAUCAUUUAGGACAUAUAUCGUUUAUAUAGAUAGUCCUAAAUAGUAUCUUUGCCAUUUGAUGUAUAAGAGUCAUUUAUACAUCCAUUUAUUGUCCUGAAAGGUUUCUUCCAAAGAUUGACUUUCAGGGCAUAUUUCCAACACAAGGUCCAUGUUGAAUGUUUUGACGGCCCAAUGCGCCUUGUGCUCCAAUUCUACGGGAAGAUGGCAUGGUUUGCCAUAGAUGAGCCGAAAUGGGGACAUGCCAAGGGGUGUUUUAUAUGCUGUGCGAUAUGCCCACAACGUAUCCUCCAAACGCAAGCUCCAAUCCUUUCUUGUUGGCCCAAUGGUCUUCUCUAGAAUCUGCUUGAUCUCCUUAUUAGACACAUUGGCUUGCCCAUUGGUUUAAGGAUGGUAAGGUGUAGAAACCUUAUGGUUGACAUUGUACUUCCUCAAUAACGCCGCAAUGGUUCGAUUACGAAAGUGAAACCCCCUAUCACUGAUGAUUACUCAUGGCAUUCCAAACCUUGCAAAUAGGUUAGUUCUAAUGAAAUCUGCAACCACUUGAGAAUCAUUAGUUCGGGUGGCUUUUGCUUCUACCCAUUUCGAUACAUAAUCCACAACAAGUAAGAUAUAAUGGAAACCAUGUGAGGAAGGAAAAAGACCCAUAAAAUCAAUACCCCAAACGUCAAAAAAUUCAACAUUGAGGAUGGAAACCUGCGGCAUUUGAUCCCUUGAACUUAUAUUUCAUGUUCUUUGGCAUUUAUCAUAUGUUAAGCAAAAAAUUCUAGCAUCCUUAAAGAUACUAGGCCAAUAGAACCCACAUUGUAACACCUUAAGUGCUGUUCUUUGUGUGCCAAAGUGACCACCACAUGCAUAUGUAUGACAAAAGCUUAAAAUGGAAUGAAACUCAGAAUCAUGCACACAUCGACGAAUAAUCUGAUCUGGGCAAUAUUUCCACAAAUAUGGAUCAUCCCACACAUAAAAUCGUGCGUCAUUUCUAAGCUUAUCACGUUGGUGUCUAGUAAGAGUGCUUGGAAUUUGUUUAGACACCAAAACGUUUACCAAAUCAGCAUACCAAGGUUCACUUACUUUAAUGGACAUCAAUUGUUCAUCAGGAAACGUUUCAGCAAUGGGUAGGGACUCCUCAUUAUGCAUCAUACGGCUUAGGUGGUUAGCCACCACGUUUUCACUUCCUUUUUUGUCUCGAAUCUCAAUGUCGAACUCUUGGAGAAGUAAUAUCCAUCGAAUUAGCCUUGGCUUGGCCUCCUUCUUGCUGAGCAAAUAUUUUAAAGCUGCAUGAUCAGUGAAAACAAUUACUUUAGUACCAAUUAAAUAUGAUCAAAAUUUAUCUAAAGCAAAGACAACGGUAAGAAGUUCUUUUUCCGUUGUGGAGUAGUUUAAUUGGGCAUCAUUCAACGUCCGUGAAGCAUAGUAGAUGGCAUGCGGCCUCUUAUCCUUCCUUUGUCCUAAAACAGCUCCUAAAGCAUAAUCGGAUAUGUCACAUAUGAGCUCAAAAGGAAGGCUCCAAUCUGGUGGAACAAUAAUGGGAGCCGUGGUCAACAACUCCUUGAGUUGUUUGAAGGAUGUUGUGCACUCCUUAUUGAAGUCAAACGCCACAUCUUUUUGAAGGAGACGGCAAAGAGGUUGGGAAACCUUUGAGAAAUCUUUGAUAGAAACCUGCGAGAACGAGUCAGAAAGAGAAGCCAAGAUGAAGUCCUGGGCCAAUUCCUUGUCAAUUGGAGUCCCUAGGUUCUCCAAUUGUUCAAUCAGUCCAAUCAUCUUCAGUACAUGUUGAUGCACUAGAGCUUCCUUUACCAUCUUGGUCUUCACAAGUUCACUGACAGUGCUAAAGCGAUGGUUGCGCGUCCCUUCACCAUAUAACUCCGUAAGAUGGAGUAUGAUGGAAGAUGCAUUGUCCAUGCCCUCGUGCUGUCUCUGCAACUCCUCAUUCAUGGAAGCCAACAGAUAGCACUUGGCUUGUGUAUCAUCCUCAACGUGCUUGUCAUACUUAGCACGUUCAUCCUCAGUGGCCUCAGGGCCAAGAGGUAUGUGAGGUGGAGCCUUGUCUAGUGAGGUGGAGCCUUGUCUAGUACGUAAACAAUCUUCUCUAAGGUUAGGAGAAUCUUGACAUUACGAUACCACAAUGGGAAAUUGUGCCCCUCUAGGCAAUGUUUGUCGAGUAUUUUCGCGAGUGUGCUUCCAACCAUAUCUAAAUACAUAAACAAUAAAAUAAAUUAGUUUGAUUGUUGAUUAAGUCAAACGAUUCAGGUCUUUAAACCGAAUGACACAACCCACCAUUUUUGGCAAAUUCCAUAUCCCUCAAGAUGGAAUCCGGGAGAUUUCAAUGAAAGCUCCUAGCGGGUUAUGGGAGGCUCACUAUUACCAAGCCUACCUCACGAUGAUACGAUGUUGGCUAGCAAAAAUAAUAAUCAGAGGGUAUGACUACCCAUUCACAACAACCUCUUGUGAUUACCCAUCUUAUUGGCCUCUAGAGAACAAUGCCUCACAAUGAUAUGAUGUUGGCACCAUUUCUCUUAGUUAAGUUUUGACCCACCAUGCCGGUUUAGAUAGGGGUCCAAGUACGACCUCACGAUGAUACGAUGUUGGCCACACUUGUUGCCUACCUUCACCAUAUCAAAUGUUGAAAUAGACUCCUCCUGAGUAUAAGCACGCACUUUGCACUCCCCCAUGAUAGGGUGAAGGCGGUGUACGAGUCAUAAACGAUUGGAGCCUACCAUGGUGGAAGGCCACGAAGAAGUGUUCAAAGCACCUCUCCACUUUCAACUUAAUAUUGAAUGUUGGUUGAAGGAUUUUAAGGUCUCAUCAUUUUAUUUAUUUAAUCACAUUAAAAUAAAUUGUGUCCUAUUAUAACUACUAGUCCAAAUUUAAUGAAAUUAGUAGCAUAUGAUAUCCCCACUAUUCGUUUUCAUAAAACAAAUCAAUAUCAAAACAUUUUUCAAAAUAUUGGAGAUAUAUAUAACUACUAAUUGUAUUCAUUAUUGUUUAGUGGCGUAUGAUACUCCCACUAUUUGUUUUGAGAAAAAAAACAAAUCAAUAUCAAAAACGAAUUUUUCAAAUAUUGGAAGUAACUACUACUACUAUGGUUUUUGCAUUCCUUUGAAAUUGGACUUUAUAGUUAUCUUAGGCUCUUUGGAUGACCAUGGACUUAUUGAGUUAAUUCAAUUAACGAGCCAACAUUGUUGAAUAAUAUUUAGGGAAGGUUGUGUCGUUUUAAUUACGUGCUUUCAAUCCAAUUAAAACAUUUUUCAUUGAGCCAUUAGAAAUGAAAGACAAUCAUUCAUUGCUAAUUAGGGCGUUGGACCCAAUUAAUCUUUAAUCUCAUGUCAAAACCCUCUUUUAAUCAUGUCUCCUUACCAAUAGUUAAAGAAACUCUAGUCUAGUACUAGAGGGAACCAACUAAUUGAAAGAGAUUAAGAAGUAAUAAGAAUUACAAACCAAUUUGUAUAAAUUCCUACAAAUUACAUAUACUAAGAGGGAGAGAAAGAUUAAUGUCUAUCAUGACAAGGUCCAAUUGAAAUAGUAAUUAAAACACAUUCCCAAGGUUCAAACAAUUUGAGUUUAGCGCCCUUUCUCAUAGCUCAAUUAUCGUUUAAGGCAUAAGUCCAUAGUCAACCAUUUUCUAACUACUUAAUCACAUUAAAUAAUUAAUCGGAAUGCAACAUUUACAAUUAGAUUUAGUGCAUAUGGGCAUAAUUAUAUGAUGAGUUUAAACAACUAACAAAAUUAAAAUCAAAAUAUUUUAACUUGUUAGAUAGAUGGGGCCUAAAUGCAAAUAUGAAAAGUUAAGGGUCAAACCGCAAAUACUAGAAAGUAUUAUCAACUUUUAAAAAUUACAAAAUAGCCCCACAAGUGGAUAAUCCACUAGGGUGGCCGGCCAUGUUAAGGGGGGAUGGGAGGUUUCAAACAUCUUGCAUUAAUUCAAAUUAAAGUAGAUAAAACCCAAGAUAUUUCUUGCCACUUGACAUGCUUUAAGGACUUUAGUGUAAAGGUGAUGGAAAUUCUCCUAGUCAAGUCUAGGAUUGAAUAAAUUUUGGGAAGGCUGUGGAUGGUAAGUUUAUCAUCCAAAACCAUAAAACAAUUUAUGAACACAAAACAAAACCAUUUACACCAAAACAAAACCAUGAACACCAAGAACAAAACCAUGAAAACAAUUUCAAGAUUUGUACUUUCUUGGUGAUUUUUCAAACCCAAAAACAAAAGUGACAAGAUCUAGAUUUUCUAGCUUAAAAAAAAUGUGUGAGUGAUUUACAAUAAAACACAAACACAAGCCAAAAAAUCCCCCAAAACCGUGCAAACCCUAUGGAACAAAAAACCCCAAAUUUUGUUCAAAACUCAAUCUUCAUUCUUGUAUCCAAAACACUUUUUGCAUACAUAUCUUUUCAACUCUUGGUACACAUUUUUCAACAUUUGAAAAACAAAAGAUAAACAUAUUUAGAAUGAAGAAAUAAUAUGUCAAACAUAAAAUUAAAACCCAUAUGCAUAAAAUCCAAAAUGACACAUCAAAUAUAAACCUUUGGCUCUGAUACCACUUGAAGGGAAAUAAUAAGAUUUAUGUGGGAUUUCUAGUGACUAACAUGCAUAUACAAUUCAAAAUUUAUAUACAUAAGCAACGGAAGCAUGUUAUCACAUAAUAUCAAAGCUAUAGUCAUGUAAAUCCCCUUCAAGAAGCAUAGGUCCAUAUUUGAUGCAUCUAAGAAAUUAUUGAAGAACAAAGUGAAGGUAUAGUUUUAUACCUCUUGAUCUAGACUUGAGACCAAGGAUGGACCACCUCCAAGCUCUUUGUUCUUGGAACUCCUUGAGCCUAGCCUCCCUCCUUGCUUCCUCCACCUUGCUAGAGUGAGUGCUCCUUGGCCGGCCCCCUAAGUGUUAUUUGGGCUUUGGGCUUUUAUCAUUUCAAGUCAUCAUAUGCUUGAAUGAAAAGCCCAAUGGGUUUGGGCUUAAUGGGCCCAAAGGAACCCGAACUUUUCUUUAAGCCCAAAACAAUCUUUCAUCGCUUCUAUGAUUUCCUUAGACUUUCUAAUUAAUCAUAACACUUAAUUAAUCCAAUUAAUUUAUUCCAUCAUCCUUUAGUUUUCUCACCACAAGAGUGUUUCAGUGUACAAUCAUUUUAGGCUCUAAUUAGCAAGGCAGUGAGGUGAUUGGCACCAAUCAAAUUGAUUAUAUUUAAUCCAAUCACUUAGUGAAUUAAAACUUACUUUUAAUUCUCCUUCUUCUUUGACGACUACUUAUUUAAUCAUCUAGAAGAACCCACAAGCCAUGAGUGACAUCUAACCAUAUAUCACGGCUACCCAAGCUAAUGUAGAAUUUGUUCGGAGAACCUAUUCAGUUGGAAUUACAAUGUAAUUCGAUCCUUCUUUAAAACAAUACUCUCAAUCACAUUAUUAGGGUAUGGAUAUAUUAUGUCAAACCCCUAAUGUGAUUAUUCCAUGUUAUAUGAUUCAAUUGAGUCGUAUAGGAACACUUUCCUUUAUUACGCUCGAUACUUCGGCCGAAGAUUCCCGAAUCAUAUCUUAGAGUAUUCAUCCUCUCAUAACGAGGAUUAGAGAUCCCUUGUUGAUCAUUCACAUGCCUCUGAGAAUAAAUCACUGACCCCAACAAUGCAUAGAACACACCCAAGAUGAGGUGUGGUCACGUCUCAUUAUCAAAAUGAUCAGCAACGUAUCCCCAAGACAACUAUGAUGUCUCAGGUCAAAGGAUUACUUAUAUUAUUCCAACCAUUAGAGUUACUUGCUUGACAUGUGAGUAGACCUCCAUGCAAGUACUCUCGUUCGAUUGUGUUCAGCGAACUCAUUCCCAUAAUGAGCACCUAGAUACCUGUUUUAGUGUCACUACACAAAUGGGAUGAGACUUUCCAUCAUUCCAAUUGAAGGGGACAUAGUAUGUACUGGUCUAUGCAUUGUCAAUAUCCCUUUGACAAUCCUUAUGACCAGGAACCUUUUGGAUAUGAUGGUUAUGAGAAGAAGGUCUCUGUAGUCUAACAUCAUUAGAUUACUUCUUCCAUUGAUCCAUUAUCCAUGGAUUCACUAUUUAGGACAUAUAUCGUUAAUUGAGAUAGUCCUAAUUAGUAUCUUUGCCUUUGGAUGUAUAAGAGUCAUCUAUACACACAUCCAUUGUCCUGAAAGGUUUCUUCCGAAGAUUGACUUUCAGGGCAUAUCUCCAACAACUCUUAGGUAAAAAACAGUUGGAAAUAACUUCAAUACAUGCUAAAAAGUACAUUAAGCGAAAAAUUUACUAAAUAAA